UAUCAUGCAGUCGAGCGGACAGAAGGGAGCUUGCUCCCGGAUGUUAGCGGCGGACGGGUGAGUAACACGUGGGUAACCUGCCUGUAAGACUGGGAUAACUCCGGGAAACCGGAGCUAAUACCGGAUAGUUCCUUGAACCGCAUGGUUCAAGGAUGAAAGACGGUUUCGGCUGUCACUUACAGAUGGACCCGCGGCGCAUUAGCUAGUUGGUGAGGUAACGGCUCACCAAGGCGACGAUGCGUAGCCGACCUGAGAGGGUGAUCGGCCACACUGGGACUGAGACACGGCCCAGACUCCUACGGGAGGCAGCAGUAGGGAAUCUUCCGCAAUGGACGAAAGUCUGACGGAGCAACGCCGCGUGAGUGAUGAAGGUUUUCGGAUCGUAAAGCUCUGUUGUUAGGGAAGAACAAGUGCAAGAGUAACUGCUUGCACCUUGACGGUACCUAACCAGAAAGCCACGGCUAACUACGUGCCAGCAGCCGCGGUAAUACGUAGGUGGCAAGCGUUGUCCGGAAUUAUUGGGCGUAAAGGGCUCGCAGGCGGUUUCUUAAGUCUGAUGUGAAAGCCCCCGGCUCAACCGGGGAGGGUCAUUGGAAACUGGGAAACUUGAGUGCAGAAGAGGAGAGUGGAAUUCCACGUGUAGCGGUGAAAUGCGUAGAGAUGUGGAGGAACACCAGUGGCGAAGGCGACUCUCUGGUCUGUAACUGACGCUGAGGAGCGAAAGCG
rnacentral:rRNA from 1 species